rnacentral:rRNA from 1 species
UGGGGAAUUUUGGACAAUGGGGGCAACCCUGAUCCAGCCAUUCCGCGUGAGUGAAGAAGGCCUUCGGGUUGUAAAGCUCUUUCGGACGGAACGAAAUGGUUAGGCCUAAUACGCCUGACUGAUGACGGUACCGUAAGAAGAAGCACCGGCUAACUACGUGCCAGCAGCCGCGGUAAUACGUAGGGUGCGAGCGUUAAUCGGAAUUACUGGGCGUAAAGCGUGCGCAGGCGGCGGCUCAAGUCAGGUGUGAAAUCCCCGGGCUCAACCUGGGAAUUGCGCUUGAAACUAGGUCGCUAGAGUGUGGCAGAGGGGGGUGGAAUUCCACGUGUAGCAGUGAAAUGCGUAGAGAUGUGGAGGAACACCGAUGGCGAAGGCAGCCCCCUGGGUCAACACUGACGCUCAGGCACGAAAGCGUGGGGAGCAAACAGG